rfam:Stomoxys calcitrans breed 8C7A2A5H3J4 unplaced genomic scaffold Scaffold340, whole genome shotgun sequence.
ACCAUGGCGUUUUUUAACGCCACCAGAAUCAUUAUAACGAUUAAUG